UUCUCGCAGUUUGAUUAUGUUUGAAAGUCGUGUAUUGAAUCCUCUCGUCUGAACGGGCAAGCACUACGGGUGAAAGUAAUAAAAUGUGCUCGUCGUCGACCAUCUCCACAGGUUCAUCUAUUUAUCGCAGACCAUCCCUUUGUUUUUGUUAUUCAAGAGAAGCAACAAGAAACCGUCAACAUAUUGUUCCAAGGUCACAUGAUUGAACCAAAAGUCUAACUGAAAACAAAAUUACUGCAAAUGGUCUGAUUAAGUUUGAAUUCCUUCUAUAACUAACACGUUUUCGGGUUUGCUAUCGUUUUGCUGUUUCUUACUCUAUAAUAAAAAGAAGAAUAAAGUG